UACGGGGGGGGCAAGCGUUGUUCGGAAUUACUGGGCGUAAAGGGCUCGUAGGUGGCCAACUAAGUCAGACGUGAAAUCCCUCGGCUUAACCGGGGAACUGCAUCUGAUACUGGAUGGCUUGAGGACUGGAGAGGAGACUGGAAUUUACGGUGUAGCGGUGAAAUGCGUAGAUAUCGUAAGGAAGACCAGUGGCGAAGGCGGGUCUCUGGACAGUUCCUGACGCUGAGGCACGAAGGCCAGGGGAGCAAACGGG
rnacentral:rRNA from 1 species